rnacentral:lncRNA from 1 species
AAGAGAAUAGGGUAUAUAUAUAUAUAUAUAUAUAGGCCAUGGCUACUAUACUAUUAUGAGUAUUGGAGCUCUCGUACUUAUAAGUUGUUUUCAAUGAUGGAGCUUCCGAAUCGAUGAUCUACUCCAUUAAAUAUGAUCUAGAGUAUUUGAAACUUCUAGAAAAUAAAUUUCGUAAAUUUUCGAAAUCAUAAUAAAGUCUAUCAAGUGGGCAUAAAAUGAACGGUCAAAAUCGAACGACAUCCUAAAAAAGGAUGAUCGGAUCAUUUAAUUUAAGAUCAGAGUUAUUGAUCUCUUUAUCUAUGUAGUGAAUAGAAUUUUCUAUCAAAAAUUCAACAAAUUUCGAUUCUUUUACAUUGUUAAACUAGCAAGUAUCCCAUACCGGCCGUUAAAAAUUGUCAAAUUUGUGACCUCUUGAUCGUAAGGUAAAUGAUGUCGAAAAAUUAUAAAAUUUAAUUUCUAGAAGUUUUAAAUACUGUAAAUAACGUUUAACGGUGUGGAUCAUCGAUUCGGAAGCUCUAUCAUCGAAAACAACUUAUGAGUACGAGGGUGAUCGUACUCAUAAUAGUAUAGUAGCCGGACCCUAUAUAUAUAUAUAUAUAUAUAUAUAUGUAAAAGAUUAUAACAGAGGAAUUUGUUCUGAAUUUUAGUUUUUUUUUUUUUAUUCUUUCGGGAAACGACAGCGACGCCCUUAGAGAGUCCCACCACAUGAAACUGGAACUCAAACUCAGAACCUCUUAAACCGAGCCAUAAGCUGCGUUUGGUUGCAGGGUAUUCCAGAACAAGCUGGGAUAUCCCCCAAUCAAUAUUCAAGUAAAAAAAAAAAAAAGAGGAGGAUUCUUUGUUCCAGACUUAACGGGUUGUUCAACCCAUUAAGCCUGUUCUUCUCAGCUUGGAGAACUGGCUUGAAUAACUUGGGUCCCCUAUAAAGCUUUCCAUUUUGUCCAUUAAACCCUUCGCCUCAAACGAACCAAAAAAAAAAAAGAAUUUUUCAGCUAAGUUUAUUUCUAAAUGAAAUAAACGAAACAGAUAGUGUGCUACCUAUCUCUCCAAAAAAAAGAAAUUAUAAAUUAAUAUUUAAUAAAAUAAAAUAAAAAAAUAGAUUGAAUGAUUAAUUAAUAAGUACUAAUCCAUUUUAAAUAUUUAUAUUUUUAAAUUAAUUUUGAAUAAAUUUAAAUAAAUGUCUAAAUUGAAUACUACUAAAUUAAUAUUUUCAAAAUAAUGUACAAAUAUACUUAAUUUGUAAAUUAAUUUAUUCUAAUACUUAAUUUAUUAAAUUAUAUUUAAUUAUUAUAUUCAAGGGCAAAUUUAUCAUUCUAUAUAAUUUUUAUCUUUUCAACAUCUAAUUCCAGUAUAAGCACCUAAACACUAUAAAUAAUAUUUUCUAGGAACAAACAAACAACAUCCAGACGAAAUUUAUAAUUUGUUCUAGCUUAUAUCAAGAUAUCUCCUAUUUUUGGGAACAAUAAAAAUUAUUCUUUAAAAAUUUAGUUUUCACAAUAAAAAUUAUUCUUUAAAAUUUAGUCUCACUAUUUGGAUACUGAUGAUUUGGCUACAUAAGAAUGAGUUAUAUUUUAGGGAUAGUGAAGGGAUGUAGGGCCUUGCAGUUUUAAAAACGUAUGGAAACCCCCUCAACCAUCGGCUGUUUUGAAAAAGAUCCCUCAACUUUUAGAUUUAUGUUUUUUUGAGACCCCUUCAGUUUCUAAUUUUUUUGAAUUAAAUGAAUUCGAUUAAAACAAUUAGGGGUUUUCUCAAAUUUAUUGAUAAUUUCACAAAAUUUAACAACUCUAUUUAUUUUUAAGCAAAUAAAAAUAUGCAAAUUAAAUUAUUAAUGAAGAAAAUUUGAGAGGAUUGCAUUUAAACAAAAACAAAAAAGACAAGAUGAGGGGCCAAUUUCAAAAUAGCCAAAAAGGCCUAAGGCUCUAUUUUGAAAUUGGCUACAUUUGAGGGGCUCUCCGUACAUUUUUAAAAUUUUAAAAAUAACCUCAAAUUGCGACUUUCACGAAAUUAACAACUUUUAUUUAAUUUUAAGCAAAUAAAAAUAGACAAAUUAAAUAAUUAACGAAGAAAAUUUGAGAGGAUCGCAUGUAAACAAAAACAAAAAAAAAAAUAAAGGUAAGGGGCCAAUUUCGAAAGAACCCAAAAGACCUAAAGGGUUCGUUUCGAAUUUCCCUACAUUUGAGGGGCCAAUUUCGAAAUAACUGAAGACCUAAGGGUCUAUUUCGAAAUUGCCUACAUUUGAGGGUUCUCCAUGCAUUUCUAAACAAAACUGACCUUAAAAAAGAUGGAAAAGUCUACCUGUACUCCUAUAGAAAGGUGUAUAUCCUACAACUAUCAGAUCCAAUGGCUGAUAUUAAUCCACUAGCACAGUAGCUUCUAACCUCACACCUUUUUUACUUCUUACUAAAGCUAACUUAAAUUAAACCCUACUACACUUCUCUCUCCCGCACAGCUCCUCUCGCUAUCUCUGUUUCUCGCUCUCUCUCGCUUCCUCGCUUUCUCUCGCUCCCUCGCCUCUCGUCAUCUCACGCUCUCCCCUUUCUCUUUCUCUCACUCUCGCUCGCAGGGCACUCCACUCCAUCGGGCAGAAGUUCGGCAGCGUUCGUUCCACACAUCUCGUGUCCGAAGCCGUCUCGAAGGUGUCUCUCGGCUUCGCCUUUCUCCAUUGGUAGGAGGUCGCCUCUCAACUGCUCCCCUGUCCAUCCCAGUACCUGUGACGCAUUCCUUCAGUCGUGAGCGUCCGAAAUUGGGAACGAUUUCGGAGCUAAUUCGGCCACAACCGAAACAGAUGAUUCAACUCAAACAGGGCAUUUUUUUAAAAUUUCUAUAAUCUUUUAUUUUCAAUUUUUAAUUUAAUACAAAAUGUAUAUUUUGAGGGUUUAGGGUUGCAGCUGCGGAUUGUCUUUGCGUGCUCCCAGACUUUUCGCGUCACCGAAUAUGGUGAAUAAUUUAUUUUCAGGAACACUGGGGUAUAUUGCGGAUAUAUCAUUAGUUCAUUUUUAAGAAUAAAGAAAUUAUAUAGGAUUAGGGUAGGGUUACAAGCUAUUAUGGCCAGCAUUGAUAGUAUGUUCAAAUCCAUAGACUUGGAUGAAUCUAUAUGCAAGCUUGUGGUUUAAAUCUUAAUAUAGCCGCUGAUAGAAAUAUUCACAAUCGGCAUUGACGAGUGAGCAGUUCACUAUUAGGUGUUUAGGGUUUAGAAUUUCCUUUAUGGUUCCGAAACAUGUAGGAGUUGCAAUGUACCCAUAUGGCAUAAUAUAGACAAUCCUAGGGCCAUAAUAGAACAACUCCUAUCAACGCAGGUAUUAGAACACUUUGAUCUAAUAAUAAAUAGAUGUAAAGGUUAUAUAGAACACUCUUCAUAAGUUUAUCAGUGGAAGCACUGUUUAGAAUUAGAAACAUUUCUCUUUAGUCCAGACGAAACAUAUUGUAAGCUGCCACAGAGGUAAACCAAUAGAACUGGCAGAGGGCAAGAUGGUAAAUCGAGCGACCUGAUAAAUAUUCGAUGGGACUAUCGCAUGCCAUAGGGGUCAUAAUAAACAUAUUUUUACAGUAUUACAUAAAAUUUAGCCCUCAACCGCAGUAUUCUUCUGCGAACAGAAUUGCGUGAUUGAAUGCCUGCGAGCUAUUAUAUUAGUUGUAAUCGUAUUUGUUGUCCUUUUCUAUUUACUUGUUUUCUGAACAUGCUUCUUGUUUCCGCAUCAAAUACGUCACUGUAAUUAAUCUAGUAAUAGACUAAUUUUGUGAAGAUGUGGCAUUGGAUCCGCAUCUAUACAGUCACUUUCUGGAUAAAUAAAUACACAAACAAUGCAACAGCUUUAGAUAUGUACUUAUUCCGUUACAUAGUAAAAUUGGCGUUGGCAUUUGCUAUCGAUUGAUAAAGAACGACGUAUUAAGAGUUGAACUCAUUGACCACAGCGGGCACAGACGCGGCACAGCGCUGGUAUAUUUAUUCAUUCUCAGUUAGACAGAGGUUUUUAGUUAUUAAUUCACGAAUGCACAGUAACAUCUACCUAUAAAUCGUUAAUAAAUUAACACAUUUUUUUUAGUCUUGAAACGAAAUGGUUUGCGUUCUAUUUGAGACAUCCUCAAAUCCGCUGUCGGCGCCUGCUGCGUCAAUAUUGCAUAAGGAAUAGUUAACAACAGGGUUCCAUCGAAGCUUGAUUGUGCAUUAACACAUCUUUUUGCCCGAAAGAAUCGUAAGAAACGCCUCCCCGAUCUAUCAUUGUACAUAAUGACCGGCUGCCCUCUUCCUGCUCAUAUGGUCAGGGCGAUUCUAAAGGACCAUGUUGCUACAUAUAUACUUCAUUAAUUGAGUGCAUAGUCGCAAAAGAUGAAUCUGCAAUGUUAUAGAAUUUUGCAAUUGUUCUGGUAAGUACAGUGUUGUAUGUAUAUUAUUGUGCAAUUGUGAAUGGUAACUCAGCCAGAGUUAAUUAUAAUGAUUUGAAUGUCAAUUGUGUCCAUUGUGAGUGGUCGUAUCACAGAUUUUUCAUAUAUCAUUUGAAUGUGCAAUGUGAAUUAUGACUAGGUAAUUCUUGUAUUUUUGCUUAUCAUAUUCAUUGAUUUAUUUUGUGUAAUGUGAGUUGUUUGAUAAAGAGUCUAGUUAAUUUAUCCCAUUGAUUAAUGUAUCAAUUUACCGUGAUUUGUCAUAUUUCUCCCGAUUUUAUCAUAGAUGAAUUUACCUCUAUAAUUUUAUUAUGUUGCAAAAUAAUUUAUGAGAGUUAUCGUAUCGGAGAUAGACAUUCAGAAAGUACAAUGGGCACAUGUUGAGAUUGAUGAUGUCCCUAAGUUGCGUUGAGAACGCAGUAAGUAUUAGAAGUGUCCGUCUGAACUACAACCAGACUACACGAAAGGUCAGAUCACCUUCUGUUAGCGCUCAACAUCCUCCUAUAAUCACCUAUGGUGUAUUUACUUUCCUAUAGAUUCCCAAGUGGUAAACUGUUCUAAUUUUUACGCAACAGCAAAGAAAUGGUACCAUAUAGAAUUGGUAAUAAAGCAUAGUGCUGUAUUUUGGUGGCUCAUUUAGUACUACAGAUGUUGGGUGCAUAUAAAACUAUUCCAAUUUAAGGCUAUAACCGCACAACCCAAAAGCUACCAUAUAGAAGCAAAAAUAGAUAGAAAUGGCAGGUAUAGGUAAAAAACUUAGCCCUACAGAGUUCCGAGAGGGUAAUAAACGGUUCUAAUUAACGCUAUAAGUACAACAAAGGAGACCAUAUAGAAGUGGACAUAUAAAUGUGGCAGGUAUUUCGGUGUGCUCUUUAGCCCUACAUAUGUUCCGGGGUGUGGUAUAACUGUUCCAUUUUAAGCUACAACCGCACAACCCAAGGCGACCAGAUAGUAGAUAGAUAGAAGUGACAGAUAUAUGGGUGUACUCUUUAGCACUACAGAUGUUCCGAGGUGUGGUAUAACUGUUCCAUUUUAAGCUAUAACCGCACAACCCAAGGCUACCAUAUUGAAGUAGAUAGAUAAAAGUGGCAGGUAUAUGGGUGUACUCUUUAACACUACAGAUGUUCCGAGGAGUGGUAUAACUGUUCUAUUUUAAGCUAUAACAGCACAAGNGAUGUCCCUGCGCCGGUUGAGGAGGCGCAGGUAAGUAUUGAGCGUCGUCGCAACUACAACAGCAACGAAAGGGUCAGAUUCACCUUCUGUUACAGCUCAAGUCCUUCUUAAUCACUUAUUUGGAGGCCCGACGCGCGACGAGGUUAGUGCUGCCAUAUAGAAGUGGACAUAUGUAUCUAGCUGGCAUAUAGGGGAGUGGUUUAGCACUACAGAUGUUCUGGGGAGUAGUAUAACAGUUCCAUUUUAAGCUAUAACCGCAAAAGCAAAGGCUACCAUAUAGAAGUGGACAUAUAGAUGUGGGAGGUAUUUGAGUGUGCUCUUUAGCCCUACAGAUGUUCCGGGCAGUGGUUAAAUUGUUCUAUUUUAAGCUAUAACUGGAAAAAUAAAUGGUACCACAGAGAUAAUAUUAUAUAGAUGUGAAAGGUAUAUGGAUGUGCUCUUUAGGCUCGACAGAUGUUCUAGAGAGCAUUAUAAUUGUUCCAUUUUAAGGUAUAACCGCACAACCCAAGGCUGCCAUAUAGAAAUGGACAUUUAGAUGUGGCAGGUAUAUGGGUGCGCUCUUUAGCCCUACAGAUGUUCCGAGGUGUGGUAUAACUGUUCCAUUUUAAGCUAUAACCGCACAAGUAAAGGGUACCAUAUAGAAGUGGACAUAUAAAUGUGGCAGGGAUUUGGGUGUGCUCUUUAGCCCUACAGAUGUUCCGGAGUGUGGUAUAACUGUUCCAUUUUAAGCUAUAACCGCACAAGUAAAGGGUACCAUAUAGAAGUGGACAUAUAAAUGUGGCAGGGAUUUGGGUGUGCUCUUUAGCCCUACAGAUGUUCCGGGGUGUUGUAUAACUGUUCCAUUUUAAGCUAUAACCACACAACCCAAGGCUACCAUAUAGAAGUAGAUAGAUAGAAGUGGCAGGUAUAUGGGUGUACUCUUUAGCCCUACAGACGUUCCGAGAAGUGGUAUAACUGUUCUAUUUUAAGCUAUAACAGCAUAAGUAAAGGGUACCAUAUAGAAGUGGACAUAUAAAUGUGGCAGGGAUUUGGGUGUGCUCUUUAGCCCUAUAGAUGUUUCGUGGGGUGGUAUAACUGUUCUAUUUUAAGCUACAACUGAAAAAAUAAAGCCUACCACAGAAAAUAUUAUAUAGAUGUGAAAGGUCUAUGGGACUGCUCUUUAGCCGUACAAAUGUUCCGCAGAGUGAUAUAACAGUUCUAUUUGGAACUAUAACCGCACAUUACAUAUAGAAGUGGAUUAACAUUAGAACAAAAUUUUUCUUUACGCCAUAAGUUGUAAUACAAUAUUAAAAUAAAACGUAGAAUUUAAAGCAACAAAACCAUAUGGCAUCAGGACCAUUGAUAUAAUAUAAAGUCUACCACAAAAUACUACAACAGGUUAUAUUUGUACAACACAACGACCAACAUAACAACACUAUAUAAAAAUUAUUACAGCUUGCAUGAUACAGGGUGGUCAUGUACCCUUGCCACACAAGUUAUAGCAGGAUGACCACAUUAUCCCACUGACUAUCCCAUACAUGACAAAAAUAGCCCAUUUCCAUCUUUUUCUUUUUGCUGCAACUGCGACUUCUUCCCGCAACUUAUUAUUGCUUUCUAGUAAACCAUUAACCACUGAGAUACUCUGGCUCGUAAAUUGUGGGUCGUACCACCCAAAAUAAUUACAUGCGUUACUCUCCUGCAUCUGAAAGAUAAUAUAAAUUACACAUCAAAUAAUGUCAAUAUAUGAAUCAACAAGUUUAUAGUAGCCAGCUUUACCCUAUAUCUUGAACAGCCAUAAAAUCUCCGACCCGGAUUAUUUUNNNNNNNNNNNNNNNNNNNNNNNNNUCGGGGUAAACCACGUCGUUCAAUUUUGCCGCAUCCUCGAUUGUCGCCUCCGUACUUGCCGCGUCCAAUUUGAUCGCAGAAUCCGCCUUCGCGCUUCUUUCUCUUCCUCUCGUUCUCCCUGUUUCUAGCACAGCACAACUCCUCUCGCUCCCUCUCGCGCCCUGCCCUCGCUCUCUCUCGCGCCCUGCUCCCGCUCCCGCUCGAGCUCUCCUCUCUCUCUCGGUCGCUCGCUCGCUCGCCUCUCUCUCUUUAGGUCGCUGGCUCGCUCGCUCGCCUCUCUCUCUCAGUCGCUGGCGCGCUCGCCUCUCUCUCUCUUUAGCUCGCUGGCGCCAAAAAUUAGGAAAAAAAAGGAAAAAGGUGAUGGGCUAAAAUGUGGGAGUGAGGUUAACACUGUUUUUUUUUUUUUUUUUAACCAAGUUUAUAUCACCCGUUGGAUCAAAGAGUUGUAGGAUCUACAACUCAAUAUGGGGUGUAUGGGUAGCACGACUCAAAAAAGAUAAGGUAAGGGGUCAAUUUCGAAAUAACCCAAAAGACCUAAGAGUCAAUUUCAAAAUUGCCUACAUUUGAGGGGCUCUCCAUACAUUUUCAAACAAAAUUGACCUUAACAUAAAAAAAUUGCGACUCCGCUGGGGAUCGAACCCAGAAUCUCUGGUUCCGUAGACCAGCGCCUUAUCCAUUGGGCCACGGAGUCAUUUUAUAAUUAAUUCCCUUAACAUUUUAUAAAUUAUUUAUAAUUUAUAUUGGCUUUUCUUUCCUCAUUUUAUUUUUCCCUUCUCUUUCUCUCCUCUCCUCUUCAUCUUUUCCACGAAGAACCUUCUAAAACCCUUUCCCCGUCCCCGCCGCGCUCCGGAGCGAUGAAGACGAGAUCAUCGGCGGCGGCGCCGGCGCCGGCGAGGUCGGUGCCGGCGCCGGCGAGGAGGGCGACUACGAAGCCUAGGGCGAAGAAGAAGCCCCUCAAGGACGAUCGCAACAAGCCCAAGAAACCCCCCACCGCAUUCUUCUACUUCUUGUACGCCCCCCGUUAAUAAUCACCCCUUCCCUGUAUCCAUUUCCUAGGGUUCUAAUGUAGGUAAAUAGAUACUCGGUACUGUAAAUUGGUACUUGGAAUUUCGUAAUAGGUACUUAAAAUUUUCCUAAAUGAAUAUCUAAACUUUUAAAUUUUUUUGUUUUACUAUCGAGUAACAAAAUAUUCCAUUAGUUUAAAGAUAUGUUGCAGUCGAUGCUAAGGUUUGGUAGUAAAAUCAAAAGUUUGAAAGUUAAGGUCAUCUAUUUUAAAAACACUAUUACAUUAGGUAGUAAAAUCAAAAGUUUUGAAGCAUGCAUAUGUACCGUGAAAAAUGCGAUAGUUUGGUUUAGAUCUAUAGAUCUUUUAAUGCUGAUGAGUGGAAGCCAAACAAGAACUAUGUAAAAUUUGCGCGUAAUUAGGUUUGUUGAUUUACUAGAUUAAGCAGUAGAUAGAGGCUUAUGUCGACUAUAUUAGUUAGCAUCUGAUUAGGGCAUUUUUGCACUCUCUGAAUAUUUUGCUGUUCUGUCUGAACUGAGACUGUAAAUUAGUGUAGAAGUAUGUUUUUGUUGUAGAACAAAUUAGUGAUAGUACAAUAUAACUUGACCUUGGAGUGCUCAAAUCUCUCAUACGAUACACAACCUUUCUCCUCAAUUCCUAAUGGUUGAUUCGCCUGAUGGAAAGAAAGAAAUGCACUGCUUUACUAGGAAACUGGCCUUGAGGUUUAAUGGCAAUCUCUCUUUCUUUCAUGGCUCAUUUUUAGGCGAGAAAUCGAUGCUUGUAACUGUUUUCUAGUGAACUAUCGGGAGUCUAGAUGUGUUAGUUAGUUCUGUGUCCAGAUGGAUGGAAGGUAAUAGCUUGUGGAAAUAUUUGAAGAACAUGUUCUCCCAAAAAAAAAAAAGAAGUAUUUGAGGAACAUAGAAAAAUAAAAUACAAAGGGACUUGAAAAGAGACGUAUAUGAUUUUGAGUGGAAAGUGAUUUGGUAGUGCCAGAUAAAAUCUAGCGAAGUUUCAAUAAGUGGUGUAUUGCUUUAAGUUUGGCAUGUGAGUUUGCUUUCAUGAUGUUAUAAUUUCCCUAAAGUAUGCUUAUUCACUGCAUCAUAGUAAUAGUUAUUUAUAGUUUGCUUUGUCUAAAUGAGUAAUAUAACUACUUAUGUCUUGCCAUUCUGUUUAGCUAGCAUCUCUCUGUGUAUUGAUUAUAUAUUUUGGUUGACUGACUUGCGGAAAGCUGACUUGUUUAUGUGAAUGUGCAUCGAAACCUGGUGUUCUUUUGAAGAGAAGAUUUUAGGAAAACCUACCAACAAGAGAACCCAGAUGUCAAAUCAAUGCGUGAUGUAUGUAUAUAUGUACUCUUAAUACUCAAAUUUAGUCUCUUUCCUUUGGUUGCUUAUGCAUAUUGUCUUCCAGAUUGGAAAAGCAUGUGGAGAAAAAUGGAAAACAAUGUCAUUUGAGGUUAGCAUCUAUCUUCUUUUUCCCAUUUGAGGCAUGACAGGCCUUAGCAUUAUUAUUAUUAUUAUUAUUAUUUUCUCUGCAAUUGAUUUAUCAUUUUUUUAUUAUGAAUUAGGUACGAAGGGUACGAGUUAUCUACCAGCAGUAGUAUGUUUAAUAAACAUAAUUAACAUAGGAGUACAACUAGUUCCUUGAAAUGGUAGUUCUGAGCACAACUAAGAAAAUAUGAGGUGAAGAAGUGUGUAAAGCCUGCUUCUUGAAAUAUUGAAGGUUACAACAAGAAACUUCAUUUUUUCUAUCUGGUUUUACUUUAGCUGACUGCACGAAACUUAAAACUGCAAUCAUGGGAAGUUAUGAUAGCAAUCGAUGUUGAUAAAGAAACUGUAAGUGGAGCUGAAAUGGACAAAUCUAAUUUAUGUAGCUAACGCGAAUAAGUUUGGAUUAAUGACUAAGUUGUUGUCACUCUGCUGCUGCUGCUGUCCAGUCCAGACUUGAUGCCCUGUACUUCUAGUUUAAUCAUGCUUUAUAUUGGCUCACGAUACACCAAGGGCUAGGCUAGAAAAUCCUUUUUUUUCUUUCCUUUUUUUGUGUAGGGAUCUGGGAGCUCUGAUAUAAACUCCAUUCUGUCUUUGCAAUACUAUAAGGACACUUUUUCUAGCACACAAUUUUGUACAUGGGGCAUAUCACUACUUUUGUUCCUUGAAUGCAUUUCUAGAGUCAGAAAAUAGAGUUCAUAACCCUUAAACACACUCCAUUUUGGGGAAAUGACAAGAAUGGUGCAUAAAGAAUAUGUUAUAUAGCAAAGCAUGUUAUUUGAAACAUUUAAGAGCCAAUAUCUGACGAAGUAUCUAUCCCUGAUAAAUCAAGGUCGGAUAUUUUAUGUAUCAAAUUUCAGCGGACACUUUCUCUUAGUACAAUCUAGCCAAUUAGUGGACAAUCUUCUAUUACAAGUUUCCUUGAUUAUUUUUGAUACAAAUAUUUCUCUACAGCCUAGCUAAGCAAGAAAAGUAUCAUUUCUCUUUGACUGAAAGAGUCGGCAGAUUUUCCUAUUUUAAGGUGUUAGUGCAUGUAAAACAGCAAAAAGCUUCCUGACUAGAAGUUCUCAUUCUACCUUUUUCAUUCAAAAAUAAUGAGGAAAAAAGAAAAAAGACAACUUUCUGCUAAGAGGCUUUCUUAGAAAGUAAGCUUCUAGUCUCAACAGUAAUAAGUGCUUCCAAGACUUGUAGUUAUGAUUGCUCUGUUCUUUCAGUUCUUUAGUUGCAACAUUUCACAGAAAUCUCCUUUUCUGGUCCUUGAUAUUUCUUGUAUUCCUAAUAGCAGUUGGUUUAUUCUGCUAGAUUAGCUUACAAAAAACCUUGAACCUCCGUUGUGUACAUCAGAUAAUUGUCCAUAUAGCUCUAUUUGCCAGCUUUCAUUUUGAUAAUUGUUCAUCUAAACAAAAAAUAUUCAGAAGGGAAGAGAAUUUGGAUUUUAGGAGUUUCUAUAGAACAGUCUGUUUCAAAAAGGCAGGUUGUUGCUCAAGUUGUUAGCUAGCUAAAACUCACUUCAAUAACCAUGAAAAUGCACCCUGGAAGAGAAAUAAGUUGGGCGUGACCUCGAGCUUGUAUGGUUUCCUUAUAAGGAAAAUCGAGUUGAGACCAAUUCAUGAACUAUAUAAGUUUCAUAGGGCAGAAUAUUCCGAGGAAUAUGAAGAUUCUUCAUUUCAUUUUUUCUCUUUUCUUCCUCUGUCUUCUGUGUUUUCUCUUUUUCCCCAUGUAGUGGUAUUAAGUAUCAAUUGCUUAUAAACUUGUUCUGGAUAGGAAAAGGUUGCAUACUAUGAUAUAGCUACAGAAAAGCGAGCCGAGUUCGAGAGGGCAAUGGCAGAAUAUAUUAAGAGAAAGGUAAAAUGAUCUUCAUUUACUGCCUUCAGUAGUUCAUUCUAUCCAUUUUGUACACUAAUCAUGUUCUAUUAUUCUGCUUCCUUAUUUCAUCUAGGAAAGUGGGGACUUUUCUGAGGAAUCCGACUAUGAAUGAAUAUCAGAUCAAAUUGUUUGAUGAAAAAUCAAGGAUUGUGUGCAGAAGCCAAUCUUGUACAUUGUACUUGCGAGGGCUUGUCAUUUGGUAUCAAAACUUAGUUCAGCUUCUUUUCUUCUUGGCUCCUCUUUCUCUUACCUUCUAUUGCAUUCUUUUUUGCUUCAUUACACUGCAUGAAACGUUUAGCAUUUUCAAAGCUAAUUUUUAAAACCAUAAAAUAGCGAAUAUUGAGCAUUCGAAAGUAAGACAUCUGUUAGUAGAUAUAUUGUGCAAAUGGAGCAAUGUUAUUCCAGAUCUAUUUGUCGCAAAAGUAUCAAACAACAUCACGUGAUUGGAAUGGAAAAAAAAAAAACAAAAAUCAAAAAUCAUGAUUUGAAGAUCUUUAUGAACAGGUUUGUUAAAUCCAAAAUAUUUGUUGUGCCCUGUAAAAGACUCAGAACUUACUGGCACAUCAACUGGACUCCAGCUUGCGGCAGUCCUAGUUUAUUAGUUUAAAAAACAUGGGCAGUUCCUGUACUAUUCCCAUAUUAUAACUUGGUCUCUGAACAUUUUGCGCAAACGCUUUAGGCCUUGAACUUCGCCAUUCCAUAAUCUGAAAAAAAAGUGUAUGUUUCAUUGUAAAGGAGCAGUUUAACCCUGUUUGCAGUGAAAGUUCUUUUUUUAUUUGUUUUUUCGCUGCUAAAAAUGUGUGGGAGUAUCUUGAACUAGGCUCAUUUUGAUUUGACUAUCUAAUGUUGAGUAAGUUCCGAUUUUGCUACCCAACUCUUUAGUUUAUCUGAUUAGAGCAAUUUGAUUGCUCUUUCCUUCAGAAUUUCAGUACACCGAUUAUUCUAGUAGAUUUGAUUAGACUAUUUAAUUACAUGAUUAAUGUGACUAAGUUCCAGAAUUAAAUUAAUUGAAAAUUAGAUAGACAAAUCAAACUUUUAAAAUCAUAGUUUAGAUAAAUUUCAUUUAUUUUUACUCUUUUUCUUUCCCCUUCUACGUCAGAUAUUUAAGUUUAAAAACUACAGUGUUUGAGUAUAGAGAUAUAGCAGGUUCUAUCCUGCAUUUUACCCAGUUCAAUUUAUUAUUCUAAAAAGAACAUGGUUCCCCAGAGUAAAGUUACUUUCUUAUUAAACCUGGAACUUCAACUCUCUUUGAAACAUUAUCAUUGUUUUGGUGACCCAAUUGGCCCCUACCAUUGACUCCUUUGCCCCCUCAAUAAGAUAUGCUCUGAUGCUUCACUCCUUUUCAGUGGUUGAUCUGUAUUUGCUGCUACAAAGCUUUCUUUUAUAUUCUCUUUUCUCUGUGGACCUUUUCUUAUUUUUGUGGCUCUCAUAAUGUACAAUGUAUAUAUGUGUGGAGACCCCUCAACAAUAGUCCAUUACAAACUAGAUCCCUCAACUUCUAACUUCUUCGGAAUUGAUAUAUCAGAACCGACGAAAAAUGGAAGUUGAGGAGUGUUUGUCCAAAUGAUCUAUAGUUGAGUGGAAAAUCGAUUCGCCUCAAAAAAAAAAAAAGGAGAAAAUAAAUAAAAAGAAGUAAAAAUAUAUUAAAAAAAUUUAAAAGAUAGUAGGCAUGGGUGUGUCUCCAAAAUUAUUAUACUAUUUAAUACUGUACAUUUUGAAGCUGAGCAUGUUCCAAAGGUAGUGACAAAGAUGACAUUUUUGCAAAAAACUAACCCCCUUGCUUUUACUCUCCGCAAAUCUCUCAUUCAGAUCUCCAGCAUAUAUACUUGCGAUUUCGCAAAACUAGCUAGCGGGUAUUUUCGCAAAAAAAAAAAAGAAAGAAAAAAAAAGAAAAGCCUGCGAUAAAUACAAAUCUCUUAAUCUAACAUGCUCCGGCGACGUCCUCCGGGCGGAACCUGCGGGAGCCGUCGGCGAGGCAGCUGUCGUCGAAGUUCUUGGCGUAGCUGGCGGCGUCGUAUCCGAAGGUGAUGAGGGGCUUGGACGUGCGCAUGCUCCUGCACACGCCCUUCUUCCCCUCCCUCACCAACCUGUCCAGGAGCCUCCGCCACGACGGCGCGCUCCGCUGCUGCCGCUGAGCAGCGUCGCCGCGGGCGAGGAGGUGGAAGCGCGAGGGGUUCGACGGGCGGUGCAGCACGAGCCACGACGGCGGCGACGCCAUGCAGGAGGGGAAGUAGGAUGAUGAGUGGGUCGGAGAUGUGUGGGUCUGAUCCAUAUAAUUUGUGCUUGUUAUUCGUUGGAGCUAGCUAGCUAGCUAGCUAGGGUUUGUUGCAGCAGCAGCAGCAGUUAUUUUUCGAUGUGGCUAGCUAGCUAGGGGUGGGAGAGGUUUUAGGUUUGUGUGGUGGGUGUUAUAUAUAAAGAGGAUUUGGAGUUUCUCUCUCUCUCUCUCUCUCUCUCUCUCUCUCUCUGUUUGUAUGUUUUUGGAGAUGGUAUGUGAGCACGCAAAAAUAGAUAUAAAUCUUACAAUCUGUCCCAACAAUGAUUAUUUUAUCAUGCUAAGUCUUAUUACAAUUUUAAUUGUUUUACUACGAAAUAUUCAAAAUGUUUGUCUCAAUUCCUGGAUGUGUAAACUGUAGGAUUUUUCUCUGGUUCAUGGAUUGGUCUCAUGGAGCGCGCGUACAACAAAGUCCGUGCCAAUACGUGCAGCAUGUGCGUUUCCCUUGAGUAGGGGUGGAAACGAGCCGAGCUCGAGCGAGCUUAUGUCAGCUCAAAUUCGGCUUGAAAUUAAUUUCGAGCCUAAAUCUAGGCUCAAGCUCGGCUUGAAAUUAAUUCGAGCCGAGCUCGAGCGAGCCUAAUUUCCGAGUCCGAGCCGAGCCUCGGUCGAGCGGUCUAAACGAGCCGAUUGAAAUUCUCGACAUUAUAUAAUCAAUAGUUAAUUUUUAUAGAACAUUACCUAUAAUUUGAUGUAACAUGUCCAAUUAGUUCAAAAUACAAAAAUAAUUGUAAGAAAUGUGAGUUUAGGUGAUUGCCUGACUGGUGAGGGUCAGCAGAGAGAGAGAAGAGGGGAAAAAAAUUAGGGAUUUGAAAAUUUGAAUGUUAUCAUGUUUUAGGGUUAUGUGCAACAGUAAUGUCUGAAAGAGAGUGUGUUAUGCAAUUUAGAGUUGGGCUCAAUUGCAGGGUUGUACUUGUUGGGUUUAUUUUAUGGGCGAACAAUAAUGGCCCAAAUUAAAUUAAAGCCUAUAUAUAAUUAAAAUACAUUUAUAUUUAUAAAUAUUAUAUAUAUAUAUAUAAAUAUAUAUAUAUAUAUAUAUAUAUAUAUAUAUAUAUAUAUAUUAUAUAUAUAUAUAUAUAUAUACAUAGAAUUAGGCUGGAAUACUAUAAUUUAAUAGUAAAACGCUUCAUUUUGCUAUCGAAUUUUAAACCCUUGGAUGAAAAAUAUAAGGUCAGGAUGAUAUUAGUCGUUAGAGUUAGUGGUCUCGCUAGGGUUGAGUGUUUUUCACUGGGUUAUAGUUUUUAAUCCAAAUGGUUGAAAUAAUAAAAAGAGUUAAUCCAAAGGCUAAAAAACUGAUAGCAACAAUAGGAUUUUGCUACUAAUAGUAGCCCACUAAUAGUACCCAGUCUCUCUCUCUCUCCGUCUCUCUCUCUCUCUCUCUCUCUCUUCUCUCGCUCUCUCUUUUAUAUAUAUAUAUAGGGCUACUAUACUUUAUGAUAUAGACCUUGUACUCAUAAAUUUUUAAUCGUUGAUGGGAUGUGUGGUUAGGAUGAUAGUGGUCCCACAUUAAAAUGAUAGCGGUCCCCUAAGUUGAGAUGGGUAAUUGUUUGAAUAGUAUGAUCUAACGGAUAAAAAUGAUCAAUGGAAUAAAUCUAAGAGCCGAAAUCUUAUGAGUAUAUAAGAACCAAUACUCAUAAGUAAGUAGGCCGGACGUUCAUAUAUAUAUAUAUAUUAUAUAUAUAUAUUAUAUAAUAUAUGAUUAUAUAUAUAUAUAUAUAUAUAUAUAUUCGAGCUUUUCGAGCUUUUCGAGCCUAAUUCGAACGAGCCGAGUAAUACUCAAGCUCGGCUUGAAAUGAAUUUCGAGCCUUUUAUUUUGUUCAAGCUCGGCUCAUUUAAUUUCGAGUCGAGCUCGAGCGAGCCGAAUAUCGAGCCGAACACGAGCCGAACGCGAGCCGGCUCGCUCGUUUGCCAGCCCUACCCUUGAGUCUCGAUAAAAUCCGGCGUUGUUUUUGACGGAACAAUGCAAUGAACCAUACAUAUACUUUUUCUAUUAGCAAGAGUACUUACAUAUAUAUGUUAGGCCUUAAACUUUGUCUUAAGAUCUGUUUGGUUCGAAAUUUUCACUUACCGUGUAUUCUAUCGUCGUAAUAAAAGGGCAUUUUGUGGUGUAAAAAUUCUAUGUUCAGAGCCCUUGUAUGUUUUUAACUUGAAGAGCAUUUCAUUUUGGAAAAUAAAUAUGUUUUGCUACAAAUUGAUGGGGAGUUCAACUCACAAGCAUAGUUAGUUAAUUCGGAUUUGGCAAAAAUUCGGUACGGGUAUAAUUCGGAUAAAAUUCGUCUUUUAAUUUUUAAAUUCGUUGAAAAAUACGGUUAAAAAACGGAUUCGAUAAUUAUUCGGAUACGUAAUUUAUACGGAUAUUAUACGUUCACCAAUUAAAAAUUCGGGAUAAAAAAUUCGGCGAUUAAAUUAAAUCUUUUUCUCUCAAGAUUUAUGCUAUUAGCAUAAAUAUUCAUAUUUAUUAAGAAUAUAAGAAUUAAAAGCUACAAAAUUAAGCUAAUUAAGUAAAAAAAAUAUUAAACUAUAUUUUUCUUAUAAAUAAAAUAUUAUAUAAUAAUAUUUUUAUAUAAAAAUAUAAUACUAUGUAUAAUAAAUAAAUAUAUAUUUAGAAAUAAAAUUUUAUAUAUAUAUAUAUAUAAUGAGUUAAUGGCUCAUGCGGUCCACGAGGCCGAAGUGGCCUCGUGGACCGUGCGUCAAUCUAUUUCCAAACGCCGCGAUUUUUCAUCUUCUUCCCCAAACCCAGCGCCAUUUCGAUUACAAGCUCCGAAGUCCCAAAUUCAAUUCUUUUCAAAAAAUUUAUAAAAUAAUUGUUUCAAAAAAAAUUUUAGGGACAACAAAUUUUUGGGGAAAAAAAAUUUCAGCGGAAAUUUUUUUUUUCAAAGAGAUUUUACAAGGAUCUUCUGCGACGAAAGCGGCGGAGGAGAAGGAGAACGACGAUGGCGGAACGACGAUGGCGGCGACGACGCGAGCCGCGAGUCCGUGACCGCCGUUUUUUUGAACGAAUCAUUCGCGAAUCGCGAAUGAUCGCGAAUCGCGAAUGAUUCGCGGAUAAUUUUUAUUGAUGAAAAAAACGCGUUUUUUUACGCAUUUUUCCAAAAAAUGCGGAUGCGGGCGUUUAAUUCGGCAUUCUAAAUAGUCGCGAAUAAUUCGCGAAUUAAACGCGAAUUAACUAACUAUGCUCACAAGCAGAGUAUUUUUUUUUUUUUUUGUGCAUAGGAUUAUAGAGGAUGUGUCCUCUUAUUUCACGCCACUCUACAGAGUGCAAUAACUAUGUAAAAUCAAUAACUAAUCUAAUUAAACAAAAAAAAAAAAAAGUUCAUGCACCAAAUAAUAAUAACAAUAAUAAUAAUAAUAAUAACCCACUAAAAUAAUAAGGAAACACUUAAAAAAAAAUAAUGGCCACAACUUAGGCUGAGUUGGUGUUUGGUGAGAAACAGCGAAUCCGUACCCAUCUCGGAUUCCUGAAAUUAUUGGUAGUGGAAUUAGUUCAGUGUGUGCCGCUCCACUCCAAAACAACCCUCAAUACAAUAUAUGCUCUUUUUGAAUCAUUCCACGCAAUUAUUUUUUAAAACUAAAUCAUAACCACACUCGAAUGAAUAAAGACUCUCCAAUAACGUCUCAUUAAAGAGUCUCCGAUCUAUUCCACUAUUCUUGUGUAUUAAUUUUAUCUCUAUCUAAUGAUUUAUUCAAUAUUUUUUUAAUAUUAAAAUAUAUAAAAAAAAAUUUAAAUUUUAUAAAAAAUAUAAUUUUAAAAAUAAAAAUAACACCUAUAUAAAUUGGAACUCGUUUGGAGACACUAGACACUAUGCACGCUGGUACGCCCACUUUACACGUGUCGACACUCGUCCCCAGAUCUGUUGGCAAUACUUUCCUGCACCGGGUGUACGUUUACACCUCAUGAUCCGUGUGCUUAAGUUUUUUUUCAUUAUUUUUUUUUUCUAUUAAUGUACAUAGCUCAUCCUCGAGGAUUCGAGACUUACUAGAAGCUUCAUGAUCAGAUUUGAGUUUAGUAUCUAUAAUAAUAAUACAUUAGUUUAAAAUUUUAAACUAUAAAAAAAUUUUCUGUUAAAAUAACAAUAUUUAACAACCUGCAUGUAAUAUAUAAUAAUCAUAUUUUAAACUCAAAUUCUAAUUUAAUAAAUACAAUCUUUUUCUAUUUAAAAAAUUUACGCAUGAGAAAUUAUAAGCGUUUAAAUUUAAUUACCUAGGCCUCAGUUCGUACCAGAAAUUAACUGUACAAAAAGAGCUAUUGCAUGUUGGCUAGCUAUUUAUUGAUUAAAAUAAUUUUAACUUUCAAUUAUAUGACUAUAAGUUUAGUAAGCUAAUAAGUUGAAUUGAGUGAGGUUGAAGUUCACAAUAGACCUAAUAGCACGAGACUUAACAAUAAAUCUUAUGUUUAGGUGAGUUGAAUCAGGUCGAAAUUCUUGAACACUGUAAUUGAAUCCUUAAGUGCGAUGAGUGCGGUCUUACUAUCAGCAUAUUUUUUUGAAAUAAUUGGUUAGCACUUACGAUCAUAGUUAGUUAAUUCGGAUUCGGCAAAAAUUCGGUACGGAUAUAAUAUGCAUAAAAUUCGUUUUCUAAUUUUUAAAUUCGUUGAAAAUUUUGGCUUAAAAAAUAGAUUCGGUAUAAAAUAUAAGAUAAUCUAUAUUUAAAAAUUAAAAUUUAUAAGUUUUUAUUCAUAUUUUCAAUAAUUCGGGAAUAAUUCAGCUGGACCAAAAAUUCGCGAAUAAUUUUCUUUCUUUAGAAAAAAAAUUUAUAAAUGGACUGUUUAAUUCGAAUUUUCAAUAAUUCGUGAAUAAUUCGCGAAUUAACUAACAAAUCUUACGAUUCACAUUAUGUAAAAUACAUUAAUUAUUAUAUUUUAAGAGUGCAAUAUGUGAAAUGAAGCUCUGCACCCGGUGCAGCGAAUAACUCGGUCUACUCCAGUGAUCAAAAUCAGCUGGACCACUAGUGACGCACGGUACACCUAAAUCCACGAGUCACAAGCCGCCACGUCAAUAAAUCCAGGGAAUAUUGACAUGUGUCGAGUGAUGAUUGGUGGGAGUAGUGGGGGCGAAUGUCGACGAAGGAGCCCGUUGUUAUGCUGAGCUGGCGAUGUGAGGCACGUGGAACGGGUCCAACAAAUCUACUGGCGAUGAUGUGAGGGGACGCGGCAACAACCACUCCCCAUCUUUAGUGGGGCCCACAACCACUCCCCAUCUUUAGUGGGGCCCACUUGAAAUUCCGUUCCGUUUGUGCUCCUCCGAAACGGAACGCGAAUUUGCAGCGAGGGCCCCAAAAUUAUUACUCGUCGCAUUCUAGGACGUAAACUUUUUUUUUUUCGUUUAAUUGAAAAAAUUAAAAUUUUAAUGAUUACCGUAAUUGAGUUUUUUGAAGCAUCAGAUUUUGUUCCAACGAGGACGGAAUUUUGAUGCCUCACAGCGAGAGAAUUAUAUUGACAUUUUGAGUAAAGCUUCAUAUGAGAUUGCCGAGAAUAUGAGAAUGAUAAAAAGAUAUUUCUUUAUAAUUCGAGUAAGAAAAUUUCUACGUCCCACCGGAAAAAAAUGAGAAUUAUAUUUUUUAUGUACUUUUGUCGCAACUUUUUUCUAAUUGCAUUUGAGGGCUCUCAACAUUCAACAAGCCCAAAAAAAUCUUAGCAAUUGGGCUUCUUGUUGGAUUUGGGCUGGAUCUUAAUUUAUUUUUCUUUUUUGCAUAAUAAUUGCGGCCUAGUCCAGGUCCGCAUUUUAAAUGUUACAUACAUACAAAGCUUACUCUAGGUUUGUAAAAGUCCUUUUUUUGUUACUCGACAUUAAAGUUUAGGCAUAUUUCACUGCUAUUAUAGUUGAUAAGGAUAAAAAUUUAGUUGGAGUGGUCUAUAGUGUAAGAUCACUUUAUCUACUGUUCAUCAUGUAGUCGGCACAAAAUUUAGAACAGUGUAGGCAGAAGAAUUUAGUUGGAGUGAUUUAUAAUGUAAGACCACUUUAUCCACCGUUCAUCAUGCAGUCGACAUAAAAUUUAGAACAGUAUAAGCAGCAGAUAGAGCAAUUAUAUAUUGGAGGCUAUUCCUACCAAAUUUUUAUUCGACUAUAUGUCCGGUCUCGAAUAGAAAUGAGUGUGUUAUUUUGGUGGCUUAAGAACGUCCAAAAUAAAAAAUAAAAAAUAAAAAAUAAAAUGCUAAACUUUGUUCUUUUUUUUUUUUUUUUUUUGAAGUGUUGAUUGAAAAGACAACGUUCUGCAAGCAUGAAAUAUUUGACAGGUAAAAUACCUAUUUGGCUAUCACAACAUGAUCAAAGAAAUAAUUAUUAAGAACAAGUGAUUAAAAAACAAUUAAGGUCAAAAAAAAUUACCAAAGAGUGUAGUAAGGGAACAAAAAUUUGGCAGGGGAUGAUUCCAAUCUCAGACCGUUUUAUUCGACGUCAUCAAUCACGUGAGCGACAUAAAUCUCAAAGUUGCGUAAAUGAUAGAUGAGACGGUCUCACAUGGAUGACUGUUUCAUAAAGUUUUUAUUUGUGAAAAAUUACUUACAAUAUGAUCUAACCUUGCUGUUGUUGUGCACAAAAUAUUGAGCAACAAAUAAAUGUUCAUAAAAGAGAACAACAUUGUCGAUCAAAGGACAUUUUUUUUUACUAAACACUAACAUGAUACUCGGAUUGCGCUUAAUUGGUUCAUUGAAAAUGAAGGGAACCAUAGAUGCAUCAAACCGUUGUAAUAUAUUGCAAAUACCCUUUAUCAUGAAAAGUUUUUUAAAACUAAGAAACAAAUAAAAUUAUAUAUAUAUAUAUAUAUAUAUAUAUNUAUAUAUAUAUAUAUAUAUAUAUAUAUAGUCCGGCUGGGAUACUAUCGACAGCACGAAAUAUUUGGUGCUAUCAAAUUUUCUGGCUUUAGAUUUACCUCUUUUAUCAUUUUCAUCCGUUCGAUUAUACUAUUCAACCAACCAUCCACUCAACUCUAAGGAGCCCACAUCAUCAUAACCGCGCAUCUUUUAAUCCAAGGUCGGAAAACUUAAUAGCACCAAGUUAUUGAUGCUAUUAAUAGUAUUUUAGCUAGUUCAUAUAUAUAUAUAUAGAGAGAGAGAGAGAGAGAGAGAGAGAGAGAGUCCAUUUACUAUUCUAUUAAUAAGAUUGAGGACAUUGUCCUAUCAAGUCGUUUUAAAUGAUCGGAACUUCAAAUUGAUAAUCGGCACCGUUGAAAUUGAUCUACAUAAUUAGAACUGUUUAUAAACUAAAUUUUGUAAUAUUUAAAAAUCAUUAUCAAGUUCAUUAAAGAGUUGAAAAAUGAACGGUUAUAAAUGAAUGACCUUUUUAAAAUAAAGAUUAAAUUUUCUCAAUUCAUAAUCAGAGUUAUCAAACAUUAUCUAAAUAGUUUAAAGAAUUUUCUAUCAAAAAUUCAAGCAAUUUGGAUUGCUAUACACCGUUAAACAAGCAAACGGUUCAUAUAGGCCGUCAAAAAAUUGUCGAUUUUACGAUACUUUGAUCACCAUGUAAAUAAUUUUUAAAAUUUAUAAAACUUAGUUUCUAGAAACCGGAGGGGUAUAUAUGCAAAAAUCCCAUUGAACUAACUAAUUAAUAAUUGGUUCCAAUACACAUAAUAGAGAGAGAGAGUAAACAAAACAAAAUAAAAUAAACAGUGCAAAAAAUAAAAAUAAAAACAAAAUCCAAAUUUUAUUACAAAUCUAUGAAAAUCCCAACUUUGAUCAGAUGUGGCCACAUCCGCAGCAGCAGAAGAAGCAGCAGAGUGCGAAGACGAGGAUGACGGCUUCGGCGACGUAAACUACGCGGAAUAAGACGUCGUCGCGCAAAGAGAAGCUCAGGUUGAGUCGUUUCCACCGUGACGAAGACGACGACGACGACGACGAUGACGAAGAAGAAGAAGAAGAGGAAGAGAAGAAGCCCAGUCUACUGCAGCUCCAGGGCCAGCAUUUGUAUUUGGAGUUAAACUUAGAGUUAGAGCUCGUUGUUGCCAUUGAUAAAGAGGUUGACAUGUGUGUGUUGUGUUGAGUUGUUUGGUGGUGUAGUAAAAGAGAGAGGGUAUUGGAUUCAAAGUUUGGAGCUUUUAAAUUGGAAAGGGACAAGGAGAGGUGGAGAGAAUUUGGAGGGGUAUUUAUAAGUAAGAGAGAGUGAGAUUUGGAGUCAAUUAAUUUACAAUAUAAUGUAAUGAGUGGAUAAUUGCUUAAUUUACGGAGCUAAUUAUGAAUUAAAGUUGGGAUUAUCAUGAUGAUUGUGUCGGUAAAUUUCCCUUUAAUUUGUAUCGUGCAUGCGAAGCUAAAAAAAAGCCUUUUUUUUAAAGACUCAAAUUAUAAAAUUACUCCAGUAUACGUGUUCGAGUGAGCUUUCACCAGGUACAUGUAUUAAUAGGAUUGAUUUACUACAAAUUUCGUAUUGUAUAGUAGGCUGUACUGCACUAAUAGAUUCGCCAGCACUUUAGUGAAAACUUCAACCAAACUAGAAGAUAUAUGAUAUAUUUAAGGCUUUUAGGUGUACAUACACUGAAUAAUAAACAUACAUUUAAGGCUUUAGCUGUACACAUACACUACGUACGAUUGACAAUUCUGUCUGCUGUUCACGAGUCAGUUCAGUUCGACUUGAAAUGAGUUCGAAAUCGAUUGCUCGUUUAGUAGAUGAGUCGAACACGAGCUGAAUUUUUUAGCUCGAAAUCUUAACGAGUUGAAUAAGAGUUGUAGUCAGCUCGCUCGUGUUCGGCUCAAUAUAGCUCAAAUAUAUAUACAAACAUAUUAUAUAUUACAAAUUUCUAAUAUUUGGUUCUUAGGCCAACCCAAAUGUAAAUAAAUCUAUAUUUUGUGGAUUUCACUUAUUAAAUUAAGAUUCUAAUUUUUUAAAUUUCUUUCCAUUGUUCAUCUAGUAGUAAGACUGACAAUAUAACUUGCUAUUCGCGAGCCAACUCGUAUUCGGUAGUAGGGUUAGCAAUAAACAAGCCAAACAUAAGAUGAAUUUUUAGUUCGUUAGUUUUACGAGCUAGCUCGUGUUAGGCUCCAUCUCACUCGUAAUCGGCUCAUUGACGGCCCUAACACUAUGUAAUAAACAUAGUAGUAAAUUUUUGGGGGAAUGGCAUCAUAAUUUCAAAUUAAGAUGAGCUCACAUUAAAAAAAAAAAAGUACCUAAUUGUUCAUCUACUACAUUGUUGAUAUGUAGUUUGCUUUUUUAAGGAUAUGUUCUAAUAGCCGGAUGAAUAUUUAUGUAUCAAAACUAUAUAAUUCCGUUGGAGAUCUAGUACAUUAUUUAAUGCUAUUGUUUUUUUUUUUUUUUUUUUUUUUUUUUUUUUUUUUUUUUUUUUUUUUUUUUUUUUUUUUUUUUUUUUUUUUUUUUUUUUUUUUUUUUUUUUUUUUUU